GACGAACGCUGGCGGCGUGCUUAACACAUGCAAGUCGAACGAAGAGCGAUGGAAGCUUGCUUCUAUCAAUCUUAGUGGCGAACGGGUGAGUAACGCGUAAUCAACCUGCCCUUCAGAGGGGGACAACAGUUGGAAACGACUGCUAAUGCCGCAUACGAUCUGACCUCGGCAUCGAGGAUAGAUGAAAGGUGGCCUCUAUUUAUAAGCUAUCACUGAAGGAGGGGAUUGCGUCUGAUUAGCUAGUUGGAGGGGUAACGGCCCGCCAAGGCGAUGAUCAGUAGCCGGUCUGAGAGGAUGAACGGCCACAUUGGGACUGAGACACGGCCCAGACUCCUACGGGAGGCAGCAGUGGGGAAUCUUCCGCAAUGGACGAAAGUCUGACGGAGCAACGCCGCGUGAGUGAUGACGGCCUUCGGGUUGUAAAGCUCUGUUAAUCGGGACGAAAGGCCUUCUUGCGAAUAGUUAGAAGGAUUGACGGUACCGGAAUAGAAAGCCACGGCUAACUACGUG
rnacentral:rRNA from 1 species